rnacentral:rRNA from 1 species
CCUACGGGGGGCUGCAGUGAGGAAUAUUGGUCAAUGGACGCAAGUCUGAACCAGCCAUGCCGCGUGCAGGAAGACGGCUCUAUGAGUUGUAAACUGCUUUUGUACGAGGGUAAACGCAGAUACGCGUAUCUGUCUGAAAGUAUCGUACGAAUAAGGAUCGGCUAACUCCGUGCCAGCAGCCGCGGUAAUACGGAGGAUUCAAGCGUUAUCCGGAUUUAUUGGGUUUAAAGGGUUCGUAGGCGGUCGGAUAAGUUAGAGGUGAAAUCCCGAGCCUCAACUUCGGAAUUGCCUCUGAUACUGUUCGGCGAGAGAGUAGUUGCGGUAGGCGGAAUGUAUGGUGUAGCGGUGAAAUGCUUAGAGAUCAUACAGAACACCGAUUGCGAAGGCAGCUUACCAAGCUACUUCUGACGUUGAGGCACGAAAGCGUGGGGAGCAAACAGGAUUAGAUACCCGGGUAGUC